UACGUAGGGUGCGAGCGUUAAUCGGAAUUACUGGGCGUAAAGCGUGCGCAGGCGGUUUUGUAAGUCUGUCGUGAAAUCCCCGGGCUCAACCUGGGAAUUGCGAUGGAGACUGCAAGGCUAGAAUCUGGCAGAGGGGGGUAGAAUUCCACGUGUGAGCAGUGAAAUGCGUAGAGAUGUGGAGGAACACCGAUGGCGAAGGCAGCCCCCUGGGUCAAGAUUGACGCUCAUGCACGAAAGCGUGGGGAGCAAACAGG
rnacentral:rRNA from 1 species